GAGGCACUGGCCACACGGGCUGGGCCGGGGCAUCCCCUCAAGCCCUGCACGACUCAUGCCCGUGUCGUGUCGGGCCACCUGGCCGCAGGAGCAAGGCCUAGCACGAUCCUGUUUAACUGGCCGAGCCGGCCCGACAGGAGUGCUAUAGUGCUCGUACCGUGCCUGGCCCAGCCCGCUCUCGUGCCGGGCCGAGCGGUCCACAAACCGCCCCGCAGGUUUGACACGCCUAAGUAGGGGUAGGAAUGUAAAACGGGUUGGGCCUAGGCAUAGC
rnacentral:lncRNA from 1 species